GAGGGUCUAGCUCAGUGGUAGAGUGCGUGCUUAGCAUGCAUGAGGUCAUGGGUUUGAUUCCCUAUACCUCCA
rnacentral:tRNA from 1 species